CGGACGGGUGAGUAAUGCCUAGGAAUCUGCCUGGUAGUGGGGGACAACGUUUCGAAAGGAACGCUAAUACCGCAUACGUCCUACGGGAGAAAGCAGGGGACCUUCGGGCCUUGCGCUAUCAGAUGAGCCUAGGUCGGAUUAGCUAGUUGGUGAGGUAAUGGCUCACCAAGGCGACGAUCCGUAACUGGUCUGAGAGGAUGAUCAGUCACACUGGAACUGAGACACGGUCCAGACUCCUACGGGAGGCAGCAGCG
rnacentral:rRNA from 1 species